GGGGUAGCUCAGCUGGCAGAGCGUCGGACUGUUAAUCCGCAGGUCGUGGGUUCGAUCCCCACCC
rnacentral:tRNA from 1 species